rnacentral:rRNA from 1 species
GUCCUAGCCGUAAACGGUGCUUGCUUGCUGUAAAAGGAAUCUACCCCUUUUUGUGGCGGAGCUAACGCGUUAAGCAAGCCGCCUGGGAAGUACGGUCGCAAGAUUAAAACUCAAAGAAAUUGACGGGGGCCUGCACAAGCGGUGGAGUAUGUGGCUUAAUUCGAUGCAACGCGAAGAACCUUACCUGGCCUUGACAUGCAAGUAGUAGAAUCCUGAAAGGGAGACGAGGUAGCAAUACCAGCUUGCACAGGUGCUGCAUGGCUGUCGU